UUUUCUGUGUUCGAAAUAAUUUGGGUCAGCUACUACGUUUAUCUUUCCAAGAAAUACAGUGGCUGCUAGGUUUAUUUUGUGAGUCUGCACUUGCUAAUUGUCAACUUAACUUUUCUGGUGCAUAAAUUGGUUGGCAUUAUUUGUAAAGUGGAAACAAUCUUUCAAGGUUGUUGUUAAGUUCUACAAUGUUUGGAGUCAUGAAAUCCACAAAAUAUGAACACUUCAAGUAGGCAUGACCUCGAAAAUAUUAGGCAGACAAUUACUUGUCUCGUGGGUGGGUUAUUUUGUUGAGAAAUGUAAAAUCUCAGUGUUCAUUUGUAGCCCCGGGAGCUGAUUUAUGGUCAGAUUAUGAGUUCCUUUUGCUGUCUUCUUUUUAUAAACUAAUGUGUAUGAAGUAAUCAAGAGUCUUACCACAAAUAUUGGAAUAUCUAGACUUGUGAGAGGCCUUGGAGUAUUUUCUAGUGGUUGCUCUGGUCUCAAUUUAUGGUAGCUAGGGUCGGUAUUCAGAUUAUUUUGGUACACAGCUUCAUAUUUGUUGCUUGUUGUCGCUACCCUCAUUCAAUACUUUUUAACAUCAUGUUCAUCUCCUGGCUAUGUACUUGAUGCAAUGAGGGCUUCUAAUGAGAAAGAUAUUGCUUUUCGAAAGGCAUCAAAACAACCUGCUUCAAGCAAAAAUGUAGAUGUGGUUGUUACUAUAGACCGGAACCAGGUUGGAAAAAAUGUUCAGGGAGAUUUAACAUCGUGGACAAAGAUGGUGAUGGACAUGUACCCGCCUGGAACAUCUCCUAGGUAACUUCUUUACUUGCUUUAAGAACAACGUUUUCGCUCUUUUUUUCAUUAGAAACAUA